rnacentral:rRNA from 1 species
UAUGUAGGGAGCAAGCGUUGUCCGGAAUCAUUGGGCGUAAAGCGCGCGUAGGUGGCCUCGUAAGUCCGCUGUGAAAGUCAAAGGCUCAACCUUUGAAAGCCGGUGGAUACUGUGAGGCUAGAGUACGGAAGAGGCGAGUGGAAUUCCUGGUGUAGCGGUGGAAUGCGCAGAUAUCAGGAGGAACACCAAUAGCGAAGGCAGCUCGCUGGGACGUAACUGACACUGAGGCGCGAAAGCGUGGGGAGCGAACAGG